UACGUAGGGGGCUAGCGUUGUCCGGAAUCAUUGGGCGUAAAGAGCGUGUAGGCGGCCCGGUAAGUCCGCUGUAAAAGUCAAAGGCUCAACCUUUGAAUGUCAGUGGAUACUGCCGGGCUAGAGUCCGGAAGAGGCGAGUGGAACUCCUGGUGUAGCGGUGGAAUGCGCAGAUAUCAGGAAGAUCACCAACGGCGAAGGCAGCUCGCUAGGACGGUACUGACGCUGAGACGCGAAAGCGUGGGGAGCGAACAGG
rnacentral:rRNA from 1 species